UGCUUAAACACAACAUUGAAUUGAGCCCCUCCUGUCCUGUGGCCUCUCCUUGCCGAUAACUUGCCUGCGAUUGAACGAGCAAAACACGCGAGAAAGGCAUUGCAGAAACUAGCUUGGUUGAUUUGAGUGUCGAAGGGAAAAGGAAAGAAGCAUCAUUUCAAGGGAAUCUGGAAUUGGGUUAUAAAACCUGGAAUUUAUGCUUUCUCUGAUUUCAUCAGCUUAUUACAAAAUCUACUAUGGUAUCAGAGCUACAGUUGAAAGCUAUUUGGAUUUUGUUGCUCAAACGCAGAUCUUGGAACAUUUUGUUGAGUUCUUCUCAGUUUGAUCUUUAUCCAGAAUCUCGAUUAAUCAUGGAUGCUUCGACAGUUUCAGAUGCUUCAAAGAUAUAGUAUCUACAAAAGUAUAGUAAAUGUUUAAUCUGUUUUGACUUGCCUUUUCCUGAGUACUAUCUGUUAAGACAUGUUGGAAGAAUCUAGAAAGUAGUCAUAUGAAAUUAUAAAGAUCUUCUCAGGACACAACUGUCUUCCGUUGGCAGCUUGCAUGUUUUCUAAUGUAUUAUAUCAUCUUCUAAUUUCAUCAAAUAAAAAGUGGGAAACAAGAUUGGGAUGAUUUUGCAAACACUAGAAAACAUCUCCAGUAUAUUUUUUACCCUACUGUCAAACAUUAUGCUUUUUUAAUUGACAACACUUUGCAUCAUACUUUUUAGAUUGUUGGACUAAUUGAGAUUUUGCAGUAUCCAGAACAAUCUAUUUUAGGCAAGCAGACUGACUAUUCAGAGAAUUUUCUUUGAUUCCUUCUUAGGCAUUAACUUUGAUUCAGCUGAUUGCUAAUAUUGAUCGCAUUACAAUAAAUUAAACAAACCCAGUGAUUUAAAUACACUCACAGGACUUCCCACCUUGACGAAAUUGAAUAAAUUUCUAAAUGAUAUAUGUUGUUUGAUUUUUGUUUAGGAACAAUGCUUGUCAGAAUUUUGAUGUUUAUUAUGAGCAAUUAUUCUUUGUGUGCAUAUAUGUGUGUUCCUUUAUAUAUAAUUUGAUACAAAUAAACUGUAAAAUAGCUACAAAUUUGAGACAGUACACUAAAAUUUAUAGAUACUGUACUUACUGUGUUAAGGCAAAACUGAGUUAUUGAACAAUGUAUUCUCUACUUCUUCGUUACUACACCACAGAGUUUCAGGAUAUCAAACAACUUGCAAAGAUAGCUUCUUCCGAUCAGUAGAAUCUUUUUUUGUCCAACUGUCCAUUGUAUAUGUAAUAUCCGGCCCAGAAAAAUUAAUAACUAUUAUUUUAAUUAUGGUUCAGUAGAAUCUCUUUUGGUCCAACUGUCCAUUGCAUGAUGAUAAACCACCUUUUGCAAAUGGUUCUAUGUAUCAAGUCAACCUACUAUAGUGUAAACAAUUAGACUGAUCUCUUUUUUCUUUACGCUCCUCUUGGAUUUGUUUUAAUGCUUUCUUUUUGGCGCUGAGGAGCUAGAGCUCCUGUGGUAAUCAGGGGAAUAAAAUUCCAGACCUUAAGCUCACCCGUCAAUCUAAGAUGAGGAGAAGUAACGAUUGGCCAAUGGCUCUUGGGAACGUAGUUCAACAGCAUGAAAAUAAGGUGGUGAUGAUUUCAGAUCUGUAUAAAGCCAAAAUGAUUUCCAGUUCUAAUGGACGUCUGUCAAAGGCUCGGAAGCUGCCUGAUAUCACAUAGAUGCGGUGCAGACUAAAUUCGUGCCUCAACUACAUGACGAAAGAGUAAACAGGAAUUAUGAUGACAGUAAAUGGAAAAUACGAGAAUGCAAAAA